rnacentral:rRNA from 1 species
AAUUUGGAGAGGAUGUUUCGGGUACGGUCCGGGCUUAAAUUUCUUGGAACAGAAUGUCACAGAGGGUGAGAAUCCCGUCUGGAGUUCGGACACGGCCUAUGUGAAGCUCCUUCGAC